GAUGAACGCUGGCGGCGUGCCUAAUACAUGCAAGUCGAGCGAACAGACGAGGAGCUUGCUCCUCUGACGUUAGCGGCGGACGGGGGAGUAACACGUGGAUAACCUACCUAUAAGACUGGGAUAACUUCGGGAAACCGGAGCUAAUACCGGAUAAUAUAUUGAACCGCAUGGUUCAAUAGUGAAAGACGGUUUUGCUGUCACUUAUAGAUGGAUCCGCGCCGCAUUAGCUAGUUGGUAAGGUAACGGCUUACCAAGGCAACGAUGCGUAGCCGACCUGAGAGGGUGAUCGGCCACACUGGAGCUGAGACACGGUCCAGACUCCUACGGGAGGCAGCAGUAGGGAAUCUUCCGCAAUGGGCGAAAGCCUGACGGAGCAACGCCGCGUGAGUGAUGAAGGUCUUCGGAUCGUAAAACUCUGUUAUUAGGGAAGAACAAAUGUGUAAGUAACUAUGCACGUCUUGACGGUACCUAAUCAGAAAGCCACGGCUAACUACGUG
rnacentral:rRNA from 1 species